rnacentral:rRNA from 1 species
UGGGGAAUUUUGGACAAUGGGCGCAAGCCUGAUCCAGCCAUGCCGCGUGCGGGAAGAAGGCCUUCGGGUUGUAAACCGCUUUGUCAGGGAAGAAAUCUUCUGAGUUAAUACCUCGGGAGGAUGACGGUACCUGAAGAAUAAGCACCGGCUAACUACGUGCCAGCAGCCGCGGUAAUACGUAGGGUGCAAGCGUUAAUCGGAAUUACUGGGCGUAAAGCGUGCGCAGGCGGUUUUGUAAGACAGAGGUGAAAUCCCCGGGCUCAACCUGGGAACUGCCUUUGUGACUGCAAGGCUUGAGUGCGGCAGAGGGGGGAUGGAAUUCCGCGUGUAGCGUGAAAUGCGUAGAUAUGCGGAGGAACACCGAUGGCGAAGGCCAAUUCCCCCUGGGGCCUGCACUGACGCUCAUGCACGAAAGCGUGGGGAGCAAACAGGAUUAGAUACCCUGGUAGU